rnacentral:rRNA from 1 species
GUCUACAGUCAUACCACACUAAACAUGCCUGAUCUCUUCUGAUCUCAGAAGCUAAGCAGGGUCAAGCCUUCUUAGUACUUGGAUAGAAAAACUAGUGGGAAUACAGGAUGCUAUAGGCC